GAUGAACGCUGGCGGCGUGCCUAAUACAUGCAAGUCGAGCGAACAGACGAGGAGCUUGCUCCUCUGACGUUAGCGGCGGACGGGUGAGUAACACGUGGAUAACCUACCUAUAAGACUGGGAUAACUUCGGGAAACCGGAGCUAAUACCGUAUAAUAUAUUGAACCGCAGGGUGCAAUAGUGAAAGUCGGUGGUGCUGGCACGUAUAGAUGGAUCCGCGCCGCAUUAGCUAGUUGGUAAGGUAACGGCCUACCAAGGCAACGAUGCGUAGCCGACCUGAGAGGGUGAUCGGCCACACUAGAACUGAGCCACGGUCCAGACUCCUACGGGAGGCAGCAGUCGGGAAUCUUCCGCAAUGGGCGAAAGCCUGACGGAGCAACGCCGCGUGAGUGAUGAAGGUCUUCGGAUCGUAAAACUCUGUUAUUAGGGAAGAACAAAUGUGUAAGUAACUAUGCACGUCUUGACGGUACCUAAUCAGAAAGCCACGGCUAACUACGUG
rnacentral:rRNA from 1 species